rnacentral:rRNA from 1 species
GUGGGGAAUAUUGGUCAAUGGGGGAAACCCUGAACCAGCAACGCCGCGUGAAGGAAGAAGGCUUUCGGGUUGUAAACUUCUUUGACAGGGGACGAAAGCAAUGACGGUACCCUGAAAACAAGCCACGGCUAACUACGUGCCAGCAGCCGCGGUAAUACGUAGGUGGCGAGCGUUGUCCGGAUUUACUGGGUGUAAAGGGCGUGUAGGCGGGGCGGUAAGUCAGAUGUGAAAUGUAGGGGCUCAACCCCUGAAUUGCAUUUGAAACUAUCGUUCUUGAGUGAUGGAGAGGCAGGCGGAAUUCCGUGUGUAGCGGUGAAAUGCGUAGAUAUACGGAGGAACACCAGUGGCGAAGGCGGCCUGCUGGACAUUAACUGACGCUGAGGCGCGAAAGCGUGGGGAGCAAACAGGAUUAGAAACCCGGGUAGUCC